rnacentral:rRNA from 1 species
CAAGCGAUGGGGUGACGCAGGAAGGUAGCUGGGCCAGUCAGUGGUUGUACUGGUGUAAGAGUGUAGGCCGUGACAUAGGCAAAUCCGUGUCACAUUAAGGCUGAGACUUGAUGCAUACCCGUUGUGGGGAAUUCAGUGAUCCUGUGCUGCCGAGAAAAGCCUCUAGUGAGUUCAUACACGGCCCGUACCCCAAACCGACACAGGUGAUCAGGUAGAGAAUACCAAGGCGAUCGAGAGAACUGUGGUUAAGGAACUCGGCAAAAUGCCCCCGUAACUUCGGGAGAAGGGGGACCAUGCCCGGUGAACAUCUCCACGGUGGGAGCUGGGUGUGGUCGCAGAGACCAGAGAGAAGCGACUGUUUACUAAAAACACAGGUCCGUGCGAAGACGUAAGUCGAUGUAUACGGACUGACGCCUGCCCGGUGCUGGAAGGUUAAGAGGACCGGUUAGCCGUAAGGCGAAGCUGAGAAUUUAAGCCCCAGUAAACGGCGGUGGUAACUAUAACCAUCCUAAGGUAGCGAAAUUCCUUGUCGGGUAAGUUCCGACCUGCACGAAUGGCGUAACGACUUCUCUGCUGUCUCGACCACAGACUCGGCGAAAUUGCACUACGAGUAAAGAUGCUCGUUACGCGCGGCAGGACGAAAAGACCCCGGGACCUUUACUAUAGCUUGGUAUUGGCGUUCGAUUCGGUUUGUGUAGGAUAGGUGGGAGACUGUGAAGCAUGCACGCCAGUGUGUGUGGAGUCGUUGUUGAAAUACCACUCUGAUCGUAUUGGACGUCUAACCUCGGCCCAUGAUCUGGGUUAGGGACAGUGCCUGGUGGGUAGUUUAACUGGGGCGGUUGCCUCCUAAAGAGUAACGGAGGCGCCCAAAGGUUCCCUCAGCCUGGAUGGCAAUCAGGUGUUGAGUGCAAGUGCACAAGGGAGCUUGACUGUGAGACUGACACGUCGAGCAGGGACGAAAGUCGGGACUAGUGAUCCGGCACCGGCAAGUGGAAGCGGUGUCGCUCAACGGAUAAAAGGUACCCCGGGGAUAACAGGCUGAUCUUCCCCAAGAGUCCAUAUCGACGGGAUGGUUUGGCACCUCGAUGUCGGCUCGUCGCAUCCUGGGGCUGGAGUAGGUCCCAAGGGUUGGGCUGUUCGCCCAUUAGAGCGGCACGCGAGCUGGGUUUAGAACGUCGUGAGACAGUUCGGUCUCUAUCCGCCGCGCACGUAAGAAACUUGAGGAAGGCUGUCCCUAGUACGAGAGGACCGGGACGGACGAACCUCUGGUGUGCCAGUUGUUCCACCAGGAGCAUGGCUGGUUAGCUACGUUCGGAAGGGAUAACCGCUGAAAGCAUCUAAGCGGGAAGCCUGUUCCAAGAUGAGGUUUCUCACCACCUUGCGUGGUUAAGGCCCCCUACAGACCAUGGGGUUGAUAGGCCGGAACUGGAAGCGCAGCAAUGCGUGGAGGUGGCCGGUACUAAUAGGCCGAGGGCU